CAUAGAUUGUGAUUUGAAAGCUUAGAUGGUUAAAGUUUCUUGACUAAAAUCCUUCUGUAACCAAGUAUCUAAAAUCUUGGGUUAGUACUUUAAAAGAUACCUAGGAUGACAACUUGAUCACACAUUCAUUGUUACAUGUUGCGGACCAUCUCAGGUAAGUAUCUCAGAGGACCAAGCAUCAGGAAGGGUAAUUCAGAAUUAUUAUACUUGUUUUAAAAGGCACUAGGGCAGAUUAUUUAGGAAGUCUUCUGACAUAGGCCACCUCAGUUUAAGGGGGAAUCCAUGUAUCCUUGGAGAACAUUCUCACUGAGAUAAAGCAACCAUUUUUGCUCUCUCCAUCAGCCCUAGGAGGGGGAAUGAACAAAUUUGGUUUAGAUGCACUCUUCCCCACCCCAUCCAUAGAGACGUAUGCUAAACACCGUUUGGCCAAACCCUGACUUCUGGGUCAUGGUAUGUAAAAGUGCAAUGAAAGCGUAGUCUCCCAUCAAACAUAGGAGCACAGGACUUGCUAUAACAGAUCAGGCCAGUGGUCCACCUAGUUCAGUAUUCUUCUUUGACAGAGGCCAGCACCACAUGUAAGAAAUCUUAUAAUAGGCAAUUAUGGAUUACUUUUCCUGUAGAGGAAAUUUCUUUCUAGUGUUCAGUCAGUUAGUGGUUGGUUUAUGCCAUAAAGCAUGAGGAUUUAUAUCUCUUCUAAAAUGUUUUUGUCAUGUCUACUCCUACUGGGAAUUUUCUCUCACCAUUUUGUAACAAACAGAAGGCGGAAACAGCCUGUUACCUCCAGGGAGAUUCCAACACAGCAGUUUGAGAAUAUUUUCCAGGAGAGGAACAUUUUGUUUCAAUUGAGCAGUUUAAUCUGUACUGUAAUAUAAAAUGCAAUAAAAAACCAACAACCCCCCCACCACUAAAAAUACACUAAAACCCAAAUCAUCUUCAAUCUAUUGCUUGGACCUUCACUGAGGGCCUUUUGUCUGAAGAGCCCGAUGCCCUUGAGAUUGGGGGAAGAUAGGAGUGGACCUUCUGUGCCAACCUGUAUAAAAACUAAAGGUAGAUGCUGGACCAGUGGUCAUUGCCAGAAAACAGUAAAAGGGAAGGAGGGAAUGCACUACUCCCCACCUUUAAGGUAAGGAUAAGCUUUGCCCUGAGGGGCUAAUGGUAAAAGAGGUCCAUCAUGAUGGAUGGGGGAUGCUGGAGGUUAUGGUAGGUGGUACCACAGGUGGAAAUGAGGAGCCAUGGUGGAAGCGGGGGUUGACAUGGAAGAAACCUUGGGAAACAAAGCUGGGGUAAGGGUCCUGUGGGAGGUAAGUUUCAGGGAAAAGGGCAACAAGGAAGAUUGUGGGUGGGCAACCAGAGACUGGGGAGAAACUGGAGCAGGUGAUUUGGGUUGAUCCAGGAUAACGGGGGGUUCAGCAGAGGUUGGGUUUGGGUUAGUGAAAACAGGUACCAAAAAAGUAGAUGUGGAGAGAUUGCAAGGACCUGAAGGAAUUUGGUGGCAUAGGGCUGGGUAAGGCAGGUUGUUGGAGCAGGGAGCCUAAAAUGAUUAGUCACACAGUAUGAAUACUGAAUAAUAAUGACAAUUAUAAUAAUUAUAGUUAUCAUCUCAAAUGGUCACAGCACACUUUUCAUGAACUACAACUAGUUUCAUUUUCAAACAUUUUAAUCCUGUGAUGCAUGUAUGUGAAGAAAUCCUAAUCUAUUCCUGUGAAAAAACCCAGUAAACAAACACAAACCUGACAAAAGAUGAAAUUCAUGCAAUCAUUUAUUAUAGAUGGGUUGGGUAGGUCCACCGAUUAAGGCUGCCCAAUACUUCUCAUUGUAAAGCCCUGUUUUAAGUUGCUUAUGAUUUUGCCAAACUUUAACCAUUUGGGCUGAAAUUUAACAUGGUGUUUGCCCCAGGCUGAUUUUUUUUUUUUUUUUUUCCAGCCAGAACAGUUCAGCCAUUUCUGAGAUUAGGGCUAAGGAAAAAUUUUGUUCUUUCCCAUGUUAAAAAAUCUUGGCAACCUUUUCUCUGAAUAGCUCCAAUGCCUCCAUACUUAGGAGCAGGGGCUUGAAAUUUGCCAGGUGGGUGACUUUUGUGUCAGGGAUGUGCCUUUUGCUCUCCCUGUACAAAUCUUCCCAAAUUUAUAAGAUUUGAAAAAUUGCAGUUCACACAUGCUCAGUAGAGACCUCUUUGAUGUUAGCUGCUAAAACCUCCCCGAUUCCAUCCUCAUCUGAGCAUGGCCAAGCCUCUGAUAGCUCCUAACACAGAUUGCCUAUGCCAUCCCCAGAGUGAGUAUCCUUCAUCCCCUCACAGCUCCCAGUGCUGACCAAAUGGUGCAUGUGCCAUCCUUACAGAGCAACUGAGCAUGCUCCAGCCCAUGGUAAAGGGGGUUGAGAAGGAAUUUUUCUGUAAUGGCUGCUCCCAACUGCUCAGGGGCAGGGUGGGGCCAGGCACUGGGAUUGAGAGCAGAGAGCCUGUCUCACCUGUGGUCUCACUUACCCCUCCCGGCUGGCACUUCAGGCAGCAUGGAGGAGGAAACUGCCUGAUUUAAAUCCAGAGGAGACAAAAGCCAGACCAUGGGUGAGGAAAAGGAGUAGGUUAGUACAGAGUCUGGUGAGCCUGUCUAGAGCAGGCAGAGAGAAACUGAGACUGAUAGCCAGGGGAGGAGGAAAGGGCAACCUUAAUUCUGGCAUUUCCUAUCAAUUCAAUGCUCGACUUUGCCACCUUAAUGUUCUUUUAACAUAGCGUUUUUUCAUGUGUGUAAUUAUAAAUAGUUUGCAAAACUCUCAUAAUAUAAAACUACAAAUGAUGGAAAACUGAACAUCAUGCUUUAAAAAAUAAUUUAUCUUAAAAAAAAAAAAAAAAAAUCCUAUCUUGGAAUUACAGCAGUUUGUACUUAUUUUAAAACUGUACAUUUCAAAAUAAGUUUCUACUUAAGAAGUUUUAACAUUUCCAUAACUGGCCUUUCUGCUUUCUGUAGCUAGGUGGAGUGUGCGCAACACUGAAAUCAAGAUGUAAUAAUGGGACUAUAAUACAAAACUUGUGCAACACUUUCACUCCAGCCAUCACAUUUAAUCAUAUUUCAGGCCUCAUCUACCUCCAUCAACUUCUGAAAAUGUGUGGUUCCAGUUGAACACCAACUAUAAGAAAAGCAUCAAACUGUUUAUAUGAAAUAUGUGGUUCCAGAUCUGACAUAUAUGCAUGUAGGAAGGAAGAUGAAGUAGGGACUGUCCAGUUUGGCCGAUGUACAUAGCAGAGGGGC